GCCUGAGCUGGACAAGCCCUCACUGUGACCCUCUUCCCAGGUGACUCUGCAUUGUGCAAGUUGACAACUACAUCAUAAUAAGUUCCUAGAAGACAAACUCCUUCACAUUCCCUGUCACUUUAAACACUCAGACCCCCAAACACAAGGAAGUUUCCCAAGCCCAGAACUCUGCCUGGCUGUCACUCCGCACCAGUCUCUAGCCCUUGUGCUGGGCACACUGCAGGGUGCAUACUCCUGUCUCUCCAUGCAGGCUAGUCUAGCACACAAUGGAGCGGAGGUUGUACAGAUUCGUUUGUAGACUGAAAGACCUGCCCUAAAUUAACUUCCCACCAUGAUGGACUGUACACCCCAAAACUGUAAGCCAGGACAAGUCCUUCCUCCUUUACAUUGUAUCAUGUGGAUCAUUCAACUCACAAUUUGGAGAAUUCCAAGCAGAGAAAAGAAAAGAACUGAACCAAACCCAGACUAGACUCU
rnacentral:lncRNA from 1 species